UAGGGAAUAUUGGGCAAUGGGCGAAAGCCUGACCCAGCCAUGCCGCGUGCAGGAUGACAGCCUUAUGGGUUGUAAACUGCUUUUGUAUGAGAAAAAACCUUUGAACGUGUUCGAAGUUGAUGGUAUCAUGCGAAUAAGCAUCGGCUAACUCCGUGCCAGCAGCCGCGGUAAUACGGAGGAUGCGAGCGUUAUCCGGAUUUAUUGGGUUUAAAGGGUGCGCAGGCGGAUUUUUAAGUCAGUGGUGAAAUCCUACAGCUUAACUGUAGAAUUGCCAUUGAUACUGGAAGUCUAGAAUUUAGUUGAAGUGGCUGGAAUGUGUCAUGUAGCGGUGAAAUGCAUAGAGAUGACACAGAACACCGAUAGCGAAGGCAGGUCACUAAACUAAUAUUGACGCUCAUGCACGAAAGCGUGGGGAUCAAACA
rnacentral:rRNA from 1 species